GCGCGGUACCGCGGCGGGGGCUGGUGAUCGCGGGGGCUGCCGCCGGACCUAGGGUCCCUGCACACGCAGCAGCCGCAGCGGGCGUGCGGGUAGCCGCGGGACGAGCCGAGGGAGAGGAGGGAGGGGCGGUGGUCCGAGCCGAGGCAGCGGUAGGUCCCGCGAGAGGCCGCUCGGUCGCAGCUGGGCCGCGACCACGUCCUCCACAAGUACCCGUUGCAGGAGUCGCGGUUGGAGCCGGUCCGGGGGCGGUCCGUCCGGCGGGAGCCGCGGCCGGACGGGUUGUGGCAGGGGACGUGGUGGCAGUUGUUUCAGACGAGGAGUCCCUACUUCCGACAGUACGAACGCCGUGUCAGCUAAGUCGACCCCUAGUUGCUGCAGCACCAGCGGCCGCCGUACCUCUCGUACAGGUUACGGGGGUUUAUGCGACGUUGCCGUUCUGCUCCUAGCGCCAAACCCGUACUGCAGGAGUAGCUGCCCUACGAGUUCCUACCCGACACCCUACACAUAUUACUAAAGGUAUACCCCUACACGCGACUCGAGACACGUCUAGUCGUGAGCUAAUGUUCCCUCCUCGUCCUACGAAUACGACAGGUCUCGUUACUCGUGCCUUAUCGUCGAGCUCUGUCGCCGCGCAAACUAACCCUUUAACAAGGCCAACUUUAAGGAAGACCAUCUCCGUCUGGCGGUCAACAACAACUGUUUCUACUCUCAGAACGUUUCAUGCUAGGUCACUUCGACUUCUUUGAACCCGGCCGAAAAUUCUUCUUACCGAGACAUUGACGGCCGUUAAGAAGAUCAUAUUCGCUGCCACGACGACGUUAACACGAUCAGUCACCCCUCUUUCGGUUCUUGGAACCGGAAGUUCAAGAACGUUCCUAGUCUCCCAUGCGACUACGACGAGUCCGUGGACUCGAUAAAUGUUGUUGAGGUCGAGAACGAUAGGGUUUCCGAUAUAGUUUGAGUCCAGAGGCUCUAAGUGUUUAUCUAAUAAUACUCUAUUUACUCCGAAAGAGCCAACAACGUCACCGUUUAGUCUCUGAAGAACCGUAGAGAGGACCUUUUGACUUAUAUUCACCACCGCGACAAAGGGACCCGGUAGGAUAGCCAACGUCACCACGUGCUUAGUAUCAGUGGAACGAGCCCUAAGAAUCUGUCUUUGUCCCGUUCAAACCCCAACGGCCUCAUACGUUGCCGCCCCCACCACGAAGUCGGUAGCAGCAUCUCAGGUACGUUCGAAGCAGCGCGGACGCUAGGAGCGACACU
rnacentral:rRNA from 1 species